AAACUUAAAUGAAUUGACGGGGGCCCGCACAAGCGGUGGAGCAUGUGGUUUAAUUCGAUGCAACGCGAAGAACCUUACCUACUCUUGACAUCCAGAGAACUUUCCAGAGAUGGAUUGGUGCCUUCGGGAACUCUGAGACAGGUGCUGCAUGGCUGCCGUCAGCUCGUGUUGUGAAAUGUUGGGUUAAGUCCCGCAACGAGCGCAACCCUUAUCCUUUGUUGCCAGCGGUUCGGCCGGGAACUCAAAGGAGACUGCCAGUGAUAAACUGGAGGAAGGUGGGGAUGACGUCAUCUCGGCAUGGCCCAUACGAG
rnacentral:rRNA from 1 species